rnacentral:rRNA from 1 species
UACGAAGGGGGCUAGCGUUGUUCGGAAUUACUGGGCGUAAAGCGCACGUAGGCGGGUUAUUAAGUCAGGGGUGAAAUCCUGGAGCUCAACUCCAGAACUGCCUUUGAUACUGGCGAGCUUGAGUCGGGAGAGGUGAGUGGAACUGCGAGUGUAGAGGUGAAAUUCGUAGAUAUUCGCAAGAACACCAGUGGCGAAGGCGGCUCACUGGCCCGAUACUGACGCUGAGGUGCGAAAGCGUGGGGAGCAAACAGG